AGAGACAAUAGUCAUACGCUUUAUAACAUUACAUUAAAAAUAAUAAUAACACACCAUCACGUUAUCAGAGACAUGCAGUGCUGAGAAAAAUCAUUAGUGUAACUUCCAUAACAUGUAGAACGACAGAAGCGAUAUUACGAGGUUCGCUUGGAGACGAGUUAUAUUCUAGGGGGUUUCCAUUCAUAUUCUAGGGGUCGGCAGCACGGUUCAGAAGAGGGAGGCGUAGGCACUGCCAGCGGCUUUAAACAAACGAAACAACGGCAGCGUGUAGAAAACCGAGCCCAAGCAAUUCAUUUUAAUAUAAAACUGAAUAGGAGUUUCGGAGACGCAACCUGUGAAACUGUAUUCUACCCGGAGACUGCUGAUGAUACGCGUCCUAUUGGCUGAGAGACGCCAGGGCAGCCAAUCACAAUAUUCUGACCGAGGCAAUCUUCUUAUAAUGAGACCGGACUGUGCAGAACUGUCCAGUGUAGUUCCAGCGUGUGGGAGUUACAGAUAGAUCUGGGAUAUCUAGUUAUUAUCCGCGGAAAUCCAGUUUAUUUUGUAUUGUUUUGAUCUGUGAAGACUGCAGAGAUGUUGAGGGCGCUUG